UUGUGGCCUGGUAUUAUAAGCAGGACUCUCCUAAACUGCAAUUUGAAGUCUCACCCGUGGAGUGGACGCACUGCCCGGGACCUUGCCCAGUUGGGACUCCAGAUUGCUGUUUUCGGGACUUCCCAGGGCCGUUCGAGUCUGGAUGCCCAGCUUACAAAGCAGUGUAUCAGAAUUACCUGUGGGGUAAACGAACAAACAGCAGCAGAAGAAGCACCAACACGGCUGUUCCCAGACAACAGAUAAUGUGAAGGAGAAGGUCAGGAGAAGAAUGAACAGAUUAUCUUCAUGAGCAAGGAAAACUGACUUCCUUUUCUUGAAGGCAAGGCCUCUGCUGCUGGAGACAGGACAUCCAACAACUUCCAGCCCUGGCAUCUGUGCAGGCAGAAACACUCACUGCCAGGUCAGUAAAAGGAGCAGGUUCGUGAAGUCCUUAGAAGAGUCUCCUCCCAGAGCAGGAGGUCGUGGAGGUGAUCAGGGGAAGUUUGCUUCGGGUAAAGAAGAGGGUGCCACACAACAUAAAGAGGGGACCAGCCCCCAGGAGCAAGCAGAUCUUGU